rnacentral:lncRNA from 1 species
GGAAAUGAAAAUUUUAAAACAAAAAAGAUUGACUUGGUAGCAUUAUACAGAAGAGGAGUGUGAAUGAAUACUAUUAUUUAAAUCCCUAUCUGAUCUCUUUUCUUCAUUGGUCUACUGUAUACUUAUAUUUUCUAGUAUGCUUUACUUUAUCCUUAUUAUUUUUAUUUUUCAUGUUUCUUUGUUUUUUAAAUACUCAUUUGACUACCCAACUGGCCUUACUGGCCUGAAUUUCAUACUAAUAAACAACAUUCUGACUAUAUCAUCUGGUUAGAGGCAACUAACCCACUGCAGGUCCAAUUCAUGUUUACUAUUACUUUUAACUCUCCUAUUUGUUGAAAUGAAACAAAAUAUUUUUUGUGAUUUGGAAAAAUAAAAGGCCUGCUAAAGAGUGAUCUACUUAGGGGAUAGAGAAAGCUACUCUUUGAGUUGAACUAUUUUCCAGAAUACUCUUCUGUCUCUAAUCUCGUUUUUACCUUUGUGCUAAAUUGAUGUACUUUUGUAGCAGUUUGAUUUUCAUAGUCAGCUAACAUAUUCUUUUA